rnacentral:sRNA from 1 species
UUGCCGCAGGCAACGACCCGAAGGGCGAAACGCGCAGCGCUGAGUAAUCUCUCCCCCACCACCA